rnacentral:rRNA from 1 species
CACUAUCACAGAGUGUGUGUCUAGUGGUGAAAGAGCCAGAGAGGUCACUUUCAUCUCCGCCGACUGAGAGAGGUGAGGAGUGAAAGAAGGAGGCGGUCGGCGGAGGAGACAUCGUGCCGCGGAGGAGAUGUCGUGCGGCGUAGGAGACGGCGGUGCUGCAGCGGGCCGCGGGGGUGGGUGCGGUGGUGGUGGUGGUGGUGGUGCCGGAGCGGGGCAGAGGAGGAUAGGGGUCGUCCCGGAGCGGGGCGGCCGGGAAUAGGGGUCGUGCCGGAGCGGGGCGGGGGAGGAGAGUGGUGGCGCCGGAACGGAGCGGCGGUUGGGGCCCCUAGAAGGGAUCUAGCUGAGACGACGGAAGUAGGAUGACGGGGUCUCCUCUAGCUCUACGCCCUCGCCCGUAUAGCUUAACCUAGCUCUAGAUCACGCAGCUGCACGGACGGCAUCAGUAGCGGAGGGCACGAACCGAGUUUGUCAGCGAGACCCUUCCUCAAGCGUCGAGCGCAUGCACGAGAUGUCCUAGUAGGACUAGAGAGACAGCGGCGACAACAGUGUUUCCGAGCGUUAGCUGGUCUGAUAAACGUCUCCUGUGAAGUUAGAUAGGAGUUCAUAGUGUUUCGCCAACGAAGUAUCAAGGGUGAUAAAUAUAGUGUCCUACCAUGUUUACCUCUUCAUUUUUUUAUUCCGGACCUCAAUAUGGGUUUAUUGUAAACACGUCCUAACUUCACCGCCACCAUUGUGUCAGUCAACCCUCCUGGGUUACCGUCUCAGCUAUAAUAACUGUAAAAGGAACAAUCUUUGCCAUCAUAGACCACAAGAAUUACUUAAACCUGGUACUUCACCUCAGACUAGUGAGUAAUAGUGUAGUUGUCCAUACGGACGUAGUAUUAACAUACAUGUUAUAGUCGACAACUGUGUGUUUGCGGCCAUAAUACCAACCUACAUCCUCUUGUGUACUGGAAACCGUCGACCACACACAGCAACGACCCACUAUCGUCUGACACGUGACCCGGAGAGGCGUCACAGUUUUGUACAGGUUUUCUUGUGAAUUAAUUGUACUAAAAUGUACACUAACUACUUAAACACUAUUUUUUGUCUCUUUUACCUCAUUGGUCCGCUGUACCGGACACACCGAAUCUACCUCACAACUAAGGUAAAUCUUAUCGUCGGCAUCGAAAGAAUGCUAGGGAACGGAGGACAGAAAAGAAAUUAUAACAUAGGGACAAAUCACGUAUGGAGAGGGAAAGGGAGACAGAGAAGUCGAGAAAACCUAAACAAAAAACUGUACACUCUGUUACUGUAUAAGACCUAAAUGUUCUAGAUUCAUCCAUUCUCAUCCACUAUAUACAUAAAUGGACUUGACAACAAGAACAAGCAGUUCAGGACUUUCCCUCAUGCAUGGGGUGAUGCAACUCUCCUACGGUAUAACAGAAGAGUUACCAAGAAAAACACUUUGUGAAUAAGUUGGGAAGCAGUUGAGUCAAACAAGUACUACAUGACAUUCAUAGUUUAAAGUGUCACGUUUAAUGUCUGACAGUCUAAGUUUCUCGUUAAAGGAAACAGAAAACAGUCUAGUAUUCUGCACGUCAUAUUUACCUAGAUUGGACACCGUGACCGUCCAGCUCUACGACGACGGGUGUGCCCCACUACUGUGGUCUCCAUCCCGUCGCGCGGCCCAGCUCCUGCAGCGCCUGUCCCGCUCCCGCCGCACCGCUCCUCUCCAUCCCUUCGUUCCGCCCAGCUCCUACAGCGCCUGUGGUCCCCGCUCCCGCCGACCGGCUCCGUUCCAAGCACCGCACUACCGUCGCAACUACCACCUCCAGCACCGCACCACCGCCGAAACUAGUACCUCCAAGACAAAUUAAGGGGCCCCCACAGUAGCGACCCGACAGUUUAGGACUUCCCUCCUCAGACGGCCGUCUUGUAAACAAAACUUGGCAUCUAGACAAACAUCAUGCCACCUACAUUGUACCUGGCAACCUACGUUGGUACACCCAAACUAGCCUGCAACACCCAAUAGGACACACGUGAAAGAACCCACGUGCAUCCCCUUCAGUGCAAACCAGAAAAUUAUCAUCAUAUCUAUAUCUUCUUGGCUUGGCUCUAAACUCUCGUUGAUCAAUUGCUAG